rnacentral:rRNA from 1 species
GACGAACGCUGGCGGCGUGCCUAAUACAUGCAAGUCGAGCGAAUCAAUGGGAGCUUGCUCCCUGAGAUUAGCGGCGGACGGGUGAGUAACACGUGGGUAACCUGCCUGUAAGACUGGGAUAACUUCGGGAAACCGGAGCUAAUACCGGAUAAUUUCUUUUCUCGCAUGAGGAAAGAUGGAAAGAUGGUUCUGCUAUCACUUACAGAUGGACCCGCGGCGCAUUGGCUAGUUGGUGAGAUAACGGCUCACCAAGGCGACGAUGCGUAGCCGACCUGCGAGGGUGAUCGGCCACACUGGGACUGCGACACGGCCCAGACUCCUACGGGAGGCAGCAGUAGGGAAUCUUCCGCAAUGGACGAAAGUCUGACGGAGCAACGCCGCGUGAGCGAAGAAGGCCUUCGGGUCGUAAAGCUCUGUUGUUAGGGAAGAACAAGUAUCGGAGUAACUGCCGGUACCUUGACGGUACCUAACCAGAAAGCCACGGCUAACUACGUGCCAGCCGCCGCCGUAAAAC